UACAGAGGGUGCAAGCGUUGCUCGGAAUUAUUGGGCGUAAAGCGCACGUAGGCGGCAUCGUAAGUCUGAUGUGAAAGCCCUGGGCUCAACCCAGGAAGUGCAUUGGAUACUGCGGAGCUUGAAUCUGGAAGAGGGUCGCGGAAUUCCCGGUGUAGAGGUGAAAUUCGUAGAUAUCGGGAGGAACACCAGUGGCGAAGGCGGCGACCUGGGCCAAGAUUGACGCUGAGGUGCGAAAGCGUGGGGAGCAAACAGG
rnacentral:rRNA from 1 species